GCUUAUCACCAUUCCAGAUUGAAUAUACCCGAUCUCGUCUGAUCUCAGAAAUCAAGCAAUCUCGGGCUUGGUUAAUACUUGGAUGGGUGACCGCUUGGGAAUACCAAGUGCGAUAAGCA
rfam:Ciona savignyi cont_63001, whole genome shotgun sequence.